CGCUAGCCCAGAUUGAGCAAUUUGCUGGAGCUCUUUUUAAAAAAAGCGACUUGCGAAAGCUGGAUAAAGC
rnacentral:misc_RNA from 1 species